rnacentral:lncRNA from 1 species
GCAAGGGUUGUAUAGCCAGCUGAGGUCGUUAAAAACUUUCUUUCUUUUGUUGUUGCAGAUAGAUCUUGACCUGAUAAGCAAUUUUACCACAUGUCAGAUUUGCUCUAAAUGCUUUGGUUUUUGAGUGAUAAGCCAAAAACUGCAUUUUACCCCUAUGUUUUAUUUUUAGCCAUGGCGGCCAUCUUGAUUGGUUGGCCGGGUCACCGGACACAAUUUUCAAACUCGAUACCCCAAUGAUGAUUGUGGCCAAGUUUGGUUUAAUUUGGUCCAGUAGUUUCAGAGGAGAAGAUUUUUGUAAAAGAUAACUAAGAUUUACGAAAAAUGGUUAAAAAUUGACUAUAAAGGGCAAUAACUCCUAAAGGGGUCAACAGACCAUUUUGGUCAUGCUGACUUAUUUGUAGAUCUUACUUAGCUGAACAUUUUUGCUGUUUACAGUUUAUCUCUAUCUAUAAUAAUAUUCAAGAUAAUAACCAAAAACAGUAAAAUUUCCUUAAAAUUACCAAUUUCAGGGGCAGCAACCUAUCAACGAGUUGUCCGAUUCAUCUCAAAAUUUCAGGGCAGAUAGAUCUUGACCUGAUAAACAAUUUUACUACAUGUCAGAUUUGCUCUAAAUGCUUCGGUUUUUGAGUGAUAAGCCAAAAACUGCAUUUUACCCCCUAUGUUCUAUUUUUAGCCAUGGCGGCCAUCUUGGUUGGUUGGCCGGAUCACCGGACACAAUUUUUAAUUUAGAUACCCCAAUGAUGAUUGUGGCCAAGUUUGGUUUAAUUUGGUCCAGUAUUUUCAGAGGAGAAGAUUUUUGUAAAAGAUAACUAAGAUUUACGAAAAAUGGUUAAAAAUUGACUAUAAAGGGCAAUAACUUCUAAAGGGGUCAACAGACCAUUUUGGUCAGGUUGACUUAUUUGUAGAUCUUACUUUGUUGAACAUUUUUGCUGUUCACAGUUUAUCUCUAUCUAUAAUAAUAUUCAAGAUAAUAACCAAAAACAGCAAAAUUUUCUCAAAAUUACCAAUUCAGGGGCAGCAACCUACCAACGGGUUGUCUGAUUCAUCUGAAAAUUUCAGGGCA